GAUGAAGAACGUAGCGAAAUGCGAUACUUGGUGUGAAUUGCAGAAUCCCGUGAACCAUCGAGUCUUUGAACGCAAGUUGCGCCCGAAGCCAUUAGGCCGAGGGCACGCCUGCCUGGGCGUCACACGUCGUUGCCCCCCCAUCUACUCCUUCGGGAUUGCGGGGGGCGGAUGAUGGCCUCCCGUGCGCCUCGCCGCGCGGUUGGCAUAAAUGCCAAGUCCUCGGCGACGCACGCCCCGACAAUCGGUGGUUGCGAAACCUCGGUUGCCCGUCGUGUGCGGUCGUCGCGCAUCGAGGGCUCGAAAAAAUUGCCGGGUUCCGGCUCGGCUUUCAACGCGACCCCAGGUCAGGCGGGGUUACCCGCUGAAUUUAAGCAUAUCAAUAAGCGGAGGA
rnacentral:misc_RNA from 1 species